AUACGGAGGAUCCGAGCGUUAUCCGGAUUUACUGGGUUUAAAGGGUGCGUAGGCGGGCGCCUUAAGUCAGCGGUGAAAUGCAGCGGCUCAACCGUUGAACUGCCGUUGAAACUGGGGCGCCUUGGAUGCGGUCGAGGCCGGCGGAAUGCGUGGUGUGGCGGUGAAAUGCUUAGAUAUCACGCAGAACGCCAAUUGCGAAGGCAGCUGGCCGGGCCGCAAUCGACGCUGAGGCACGAAAGCGUGGGGAUC
rnacentral:rRNA from 1 species